GGUGUAAGUAAAUACCUACUUUAAAUGUCAGUUAACCUACAUUUACCAACGCGUUGUCUCUUAUCUGAUAAAAUACAAAUUUCAACGAUAGAAUAAUCAAUACUUAUUCAUUUCCUUCAAUAUUUCAUGAUGACAGGAAGCAAGUUAAUAAAAGAGACUUGAAAUUACUGUGGAAUUAUUAAAAUCUGUGGUGGAUCAAAUUUCGUGGUAUUCGAGUUUAGAUAACCAACGUCUGUUUAUUGCAAUGGAUACGGAGUUAAGUCAUUAUGUCGUUCCUGUUACUUCAACAAGGAAACGGAAAGGAUCUGGUGAAGAUGAAACAGGCGUUAGUCCUGAUGUGGAAAAAAUGGUCAGUGAAGGAGAUGGCAAAGUAUUAGCUAAAAAGGAAGCAGCAAAAGUAGACGAAAGUCCCCAACAAGCGGAAUAUGUAUAUCGGUUACUACGUGACGACGAACUUUACAAGGAAGGCCUCCGUCCGAAAAACAUAGAAUCAAAAGCAAGCCUUCAUCAGCAUGUCGCAGUUCAUGUUGAUAUGGAGAAAACAAGCAAUAUCAGCUGAUGUUGAUACGAUAUGGCGGUGGAAUCAUUUAUUGAAUUGUUAUAGUUUUUAGAAAAUGACAUUGAGCGAUUUGUUGACAAUAUGACCUCGGUUUAUAUAUUGGAAAUAUACAGCUAACGUCAAUUUUACAUGUUGCAGUAAGAACGUUUGAAUUGGCGGGGACAAAUUGACACGGACGUCAGAGAAAACAUUGGAUUGAAUCUGUAGUUAAAAGAAGUGUAUUUUCAAUCCACUUCAGCAUAUAUUACUUGCUAUAUAAGAGCUUCAUUGCUCAUCACAUGAUCUUUUUAAAUUAUUUCCUAUAAGUUUAAGAUAUAAAAAAUCAUGAUAUGGCGUUUUAUAUCACAUCCGGAAUUAGCAUUUGGUCGCUGAAUUCAGUCCUAAUCGCAUCCUUUAUUACAUGUAUGGCUCGUUCGCUGUAUAUAAGCAUAUGCAAUAUUAAUCCACGUCAAUCUAUAUGUAAAUUCUCCCUCGAACCAGAACUACUUGUAACUUAAAAAGCUUUAGACUCUCACCUAUUCUGUUAUGGAAUAAAUUACUUCUUUCACUAAUGCCCUAAAGAUACUUAAUCAUACAAACCCUGAAAUUUUUUCAUGGAAAUCAUUUGGAAAAGUAUCCAUUGUCGAUUAAGAAACAGGGUUGGUAGUCCAAAUGCCGAUUUUUUUUUUUACUAAUUAUAAUACCUAAUUGUGGUUUUCAUUUUGAAAAUGUAUUUUAUUUAUAUCUUUUAAUGCCCUAAAUAUGUAAAGGAAAGAAAUACUCUUUAUUUCAUUGCAUAUCAAAUUUGGGCAUACAAAAACCUUUACCUCUUGAACGUAUUGCUGUCUAGAGACAAUCAUAUUUCUGAUGCUGAUAAAAUUGACUUAUUAAAAUUUGCACAUGUUUAUAUUACAAUACUAAUAGAUUCAAAUAAAAUUUAUUGGAUACACC
rnacentral:misc_RNA from 1 species